UAGAGCUGAUCAAGCUUGGAGCGUUAA
rnacentral:sRNA from 1 species